rnacentral:rRNA from 1 species
UGGGGAAUAUUGGACAAUGGGCGAAAGCCUGAUCCAGCAAUGCCGCGUGAGUGAUGAAGGCCUUAGGGUUGUAAAGCUCUUUUACCAGGGAUGAUAAUGACAGUACCUGAAGAAUAAGCACCGGCUAACUACGUGCCAGCAGCCGCGGUAAUACGUAGGGUGCAAGCGUUAAUCGGAAUUACUGGGCGUAAAGCGUGCGCAGGCGGUUGUGUAAGUCAGAUGUGAAAUCCCCGGGCUCAACCUGGGAACUGCAUCCAAAACUGGCAAGCUAGAGUAUGGUAGAGGGUAGUGGAAUUUCCUGUGUAGCGGUGAAAUGCGUAGAUAUAGGAAGGAACACCAGUGGCGAAGGCGACUACCUGGACUGAUACUGACACUGAGGUGCGAAAGCGUGGGGAGCAAACA